UGGGGUUUGGUUUAGGGGUUAAGUACUCGGCUGCUAACCAAAAGUUUGGUGGUUCAAACCCACCAGCCGCUC
rnacentral:tRNA from 1 species